GUGCUUGCUUCAGCAGCACAUAUACUUAAAAAAAAUUGGAACGAUAAAGAGAAGAUUAGUGCGGCCCCUGUGCAAGGAUAACGUACCCAUUCAUGAAGCAUUCAUACAAUAUUUUU
rnacentral:snRNA from 1 species